ACUCAAAGGAAUUGACGGGGGCCCGCACAAGCGGUGGAGUAUGUGGUUUAAUUCGACGCUACGCGCAGAACCUUACCAGCCUUUGACAUGUCCACUAUGGGACUGAGAGAUCAGUUCCUUCACUUCGGGUGGGUGGAACACAGGUGCUGCAUGGCUGUCGUCAGCUCGUGUCGUGAGAUGUUGGGUUAAGUCCCGCAACGAGCGCAACCCUCAUCUUUAGUUGCCAUCAGGUUAAGCUGGGCACUCUAAAGAAACCGCCGGUGACAAGCCGGAGGAAGGCGGGGAUGACGUCAAGUCCUCAUGGCCCUUACAGGCUGGGCUACACACGUACUACAAUGGUGGUGACAAUGGGAUGCUAUUCCGCAAGGAAAUGCCAACCUCAAAAAGCCACCUCAGUUCGGAUUGUCCUCUGCAACUCGAGGGCAUGAAGCUGGAAUCGCUAGUAAUCGCGUAACAGCAUGACGCGGUGAAUACGUUCCCGGGCCUUGUACACACCGCCCGU
rnacentral:rRNA from 1 species